rnacentral:antisense_RNA from 1 species
CUUGACCGAGCCGAGCAGCAGCGGCCUCUCCCGGUCCUGGCCGUAGGCGGCGAGCAGUGCCUGGGCCUC